AGAACGAACGCUGGCGGCAGGCCUAACACAUGCAAGUCGAACGCUGUAGCAAUACAGAGUGGCAGACGGGUGAGUAACGCGUGGGAACCUUCCCAGUGGUGCGGAAUAGCUCAGGGAAACUUGAGGUAAUACCGCAUAAGCCCUUAGGGGGAAAGAUUUAUCGCCAUUGGAUGGGCCCGCGUCGGAUUAGCUAGUUGGUGAGGUAAUGGCUCACCAAGGCAACGAUCCGUAGCUGGUUUGAGAGAAUGACCAGCCACACUGGGACUGAGACACGGCCCAGACUCCUACGGGAGGCAGCAGUGGGGAAUCUUGGACAAUGGGCGCAAGCCUGAUCCAGCCAUGCCGCGUGAGUGACGAAGGCCUUAGGGUUGUAAAGCUCGUUUGCCGGGGACGAUAAUGACGGUACCCGGAGAAUAAGUCCCGGACUAACUUCGUGCCAGCAGCCGC
rnacentral:rRNA from 1 species